rnacentral:tRNA from 1 species
UCCGCUAAAGCCAAAAUCAAGCGGCGCCAACCUUGUAAGUUGGAGAAUGGUACCUACCUGGCGGAA